rnacentral:siRNA from 1 species
AGUGUACUAGAGGUAAGUCACU